UAUUAUACAAGAGUCCUUACAAUCAAAAUCAUUUUCAAAAUUAUAAAAUUUCAAAUUUUAAUUUCAAAUAAACCCUAAUAAGAUAAUAAUAAUAAUCAAACACAAAACAGUCUGGUAGGUGGUAUCAUGGCAAAAUAAUGAAUUGUGUAAUGCUAACUUUGAAAAGUGGAAACUGCAAGUGAGCUGAACUGUGUCCUCGGAUGCUUCAUGUCAGAACUAUCCUUGAAUAAGGAACAACGAAAAUUCACAGGAAUAGGCAAGUAAAAUUAAUGAGAGGUUUCAUUUAACACCAACUACUGGGUCUGACAUUGGGGGCCAUUUAAUAAAUGUGUUGCGUUGCUCUCUCUGCUUAUUUAUAAGCUACAAUAUUUGCCAUUCAUUCUUCACACUAAAUUCCUUCAGCAUUUUGGCUUCCAUGGCCGUUCGUCUUGUUGCAGUGCUGCUCUUUGCUUUGGCUCUUUCUGGGGUUCAGCUCUCGAGUUGCCAUGUCCUCAAAGGGAAGCUCGCUUGCCUUGAUUGCAGUAGCCGUUAUGACUUCUCAGGUCUUUUCUAAUAUAUCUUCAAACUUUUUCUUGUUUCAUGACUCCUAAUCACAAUGCCAUUAGUUUCUAUUAUUCAUCUUCAAUAGAUGAUCUUUUAUUUAUUUAUUUAAUUUCAUUUAACUUCAAUUAGAACUCAAAUAUGAGAUUUUACGGUCUUGAAAAUGACUUCAGUACCAUUAAAUUAAAACUUAUUUUCAAAUGAAAGUCAUUUUCUAGUGUAAAACCUCUCGUUUAGAACUCAAUAGAACUAAAUCAAAAAAGAGGCAAAAUUUUCUUUGCAAUGUUGAAAUCCACUUUAUGUUUCAGGCAUCAAGGUUCUAGUGAAGUGUGAUAAUGCGAAAAGGUUGGCUACAAGUACAACCGAAAGGGAUGGCUCCUUUGAGGUUGAGCUUCCUUCAGAUAGUAGCUCAAGAACUUCAACUACUCCACUGAAUUGUCUAGCCAAGAUUGCUGGUGGUUCAAGUCAGCUCUAUGCCUCAAAGAAGAACAUGGUGUCCAAGAUUGUGAAAACCCAAGAUUCUAGCACAUACACCAUCUCCACUCCUCUUGUGUUUUCCACUACAUCCCCUCCACUUGGGAAGAUAAAGGACAUAGGUUCCUCCAAGACAGUUGAUCUGCCUCUCCCAAGGGAAUGGGGCUUGGCACCUUCUAGCUAUUAUCCUCCCUUCAUUCCCAUCAUUGGAAUCCCUUGACUUGGAACCUUAUAUAGUUGUUAAAUAUAUGUGUGUGUGGCUUUGAAUAUGAAGAAAGGGUGAAUUAAUUUGCUCUAUAUUAUAUGUUUAAUUAAGUGAAUUGUGUUAUGAAUUGAAGCAUGUGAUUCAAAUCACUUAUGCUUAUUUAAGAAUUACAUAUUAUAUGUUUGGAUUUUACUUUUUUUUUUUUAAUUUUUUAACAUAUUAUGACAGCUACGGGAAAUAUGAAGUGCCUGCCUUCUGGAAAUUUAGUAUUUUUACAUGGUGGAUUAUGAUAUAAACUACUAAAUUUUUUUGUAUUGAUUUUGUGCUUGUAGUUGUUGGAGGGCUUCCAAAAGUCAUUCCCAAAGUUGAAAUUUCCUGACUUACCAGAGCGUGGAGACUUUGAUCUAAGAGGUGUCCUGGAGUCUCCCUAUUUCUUCAACUAGUCUGAGCAAUAUACUAAUCUUGACUGAUCUGAAAUUGCACUUCGUACAUCUCUCAUUUAAUUGCAAGGUGAUGGCAGUUUAUUAACUCAUCCCUGUGCAAAUUUGUGAAAGUCACAAGUAUCCAACUGCUCAAUUGAGGAAGAAAAGGCAGAGAAGAAGAGACCUGAGGUAUGCACAACAAUGGGAUCCAACAAGGACAUUGUACCGUACAUAGGUCAAAAGAGAAAAAAAUGCGUAUAACCAUUUGCUGGAUAUGUCCCUCAUGCAAUCCUGGGACUUCUACUCCAAAUUUAGCCAUCAUUUUUGGGUCUGCCUUGGUGGAAGUAAAUGAGGAACUAAGGUAGUGUGAUGUGCAGAAUGGCAUGGAAGAACAGCCUCAAUUAUUACCAAUCAAGUUUUUUCUUUUAAGGUGGCUUUGCACAAAAAGGGAAUCAAAGCUGCGGCAGUAUAGGGACGGGAUAUUUUGUUAUUGGGAAGAUUCCAAUAAAUCAAAGAUGGAUGAGAGAUUUGCUUGCUGAACUGUGCUUCCAUCUUCUGGGAUGCUGACAUUACAAAUCUCAAUAGGUUUCUGAAAACAAACCGGUUUCAAGGGAAAGGUAACAUAGGAAAUUAGGAAUUAUACGGCAUGUAUUCUUUGUGGUAUCUUGCAGCCUCUAUGCUCAUGUUUUACAGGAUUUGUGAUUGCUAUAAUUUAAGAACAAGUACAAUUUAUUGCGAAGAUAAAUAAUACAGGCUCGAUAUUUU
rnacentral:misc_RNA from 1 species